rnacentral:rRNA from 1 species
AUGAACGCUGGCGGCGUGCCUAAUACAUGCAAGUCGAGCGAACAGACGAGGAGCUUGCUCCUCUGACGUUAGCGGCGGACGGGUGAGUAACACGUGGAUAACCUACCUAUAAGACUGGGAUAACUUCGGGAAACCGGAGCUAAUACCGGAUAAUAUAUUGAACCGCAUGGUUCAAUAGUGAAAGACGGUUUUGCUGUCACUUAUAGAUGGAUCCGCGCCGCAUUAGCUAGUUGGUAAGGUAACGGCUUACCAAGGCAACGAUGCGUAGCCGACCUGAGAGGGUGAUCGGCCACACUGGAACUGAGACACGGUCCAGACUCCUACGGGAGGCAGCAGUAGGGAAUCUUCCGCAUUGGGCGAAAGCCUGACGGAGCAACGCCGCGUGAGUGAUGAAGGUCUUCGGAUCGUAAAACUCUGUUAUUAGGGAAGAACAAAUGUGUAAGUAACUAUGCACGUCUUGACGGUACCUAAUCAGAAAGCCACGGCUAACUACGUG